CCUGCACUGUGGGAUGAGGUAGUAGGUUGUAUAGUUUUAGGGUCAUACCCACAACUGGGAGAUAACUAUACAAUCUACUGUCUUUCCUAAAGCAGCAGA
ensembl:miRNA